rnacentral:lncRNA from 1 species
UGACUUUAACCCCUUAUAAAAUUUAUUUUCCAGACACUGCCCAAUCUGUGUACUAGUUGUUUUAAAAAUAAUAACUUGAGUUUCGUAACUCAAAAAUCAGUUUCGUGAUUUUUCCCAGAAACUAGACUCAUGUGCCCAUCUAUGUAUUUUUUUCUAGAAUUUUUGGUCGGGCCAAUUAGUACAGUUUAUUAGUCAAAGUCUCCCAUGUUGCAGGGGUCGACUACACUGACCUUUGCCCAUUACGACUUGGAUAUCACCCUGCACGGG